UCAACUUUCCGUCAAAUAUUAUUAACGUUUAUCCUGCAAUGCAUAAGAAUCGAAUGGUGCUAGUUAAAAAGCAUGGUGGUAAAGUUCUAUUUAUGCGGGGAAAAGAGUGUCGAUCAGACAAUGACCUCGAUAACGACAUGUUUCUAAAGGAGUAAGCCAGCAGGAGACAAUGGAUAUAUAAUAUCGCCUAUAAUUAGCCUCGUUAAAGCUGUCUCUAAUAAUAAGCAAAGCAGCCAGAUGCAAAACCGUGAGCUACGAUAAUCUGUCUUGCAUGUGCGAUUUGAGAAUAUUACUGUACACAAUCCGCAGAGAGACUGCUCGGCAGAUAAAGCCUUUUAUGAUGAUGCUCAUUAUGCCUGGAGGCUGAACAGCAAACGGAAUUCCCUUAUCAAGGCGUGUUUAACCCUUUACAUACG